AGAUCCACUUUAAGGUUGUUGUUAGCACAGAUCCAGUGGUUUGUGAGGUCACUUUGCUGUUGCUUGAACUGUUUCACUGGGCGAUAGGGUAAAUCUUUACGGUCACGAUGCACAAAUGUUUCAGGGUUAUCUCUUUUAGAGCUUGUUACUGUUUGUCCACACUUACAAUUGCAAAUGGAUGAUUUGCAGGUAACACUAUGAAUGAACUUGUAGAUUUAAGUUCUUUUCACUCUUUCGGGAUUGCAGACUAUCAGGAUCCGAGUAUUAUAUUAUUUUUGAAAUGUGAAUGUCUAAAAUAUGAAUUGAACUAUAGCCUUUGAGUAACUAUUAUUUUGGAGUAAGAAGAAAAAUACAUUAUAAUUGAAAUCUCAUUUAGAAUAUUAAGUCUCAUUCACCCAUUUUUUGUAAAGGUGGCCUUUUUAAUGAUGCAGUGGGUGAGAUAAAUUUUUUGUCAUGCUGGCUUGAUUCUGUUCUGUUUCAUUCUUGUUUUUAUACCCUGACAAGGUGGGUUUUGUAUUAUUAUUUCGAGCAGGAGGAAGGGAUGUAAGGUGACACACGCUCUAACCUUGCCUUCCUUGUCAGUCGAUAAGUUGUAGAAUAAGUAUAUUCACAUUGACUGUACCUGUAACUUUUUAUAGAUAUUUUUUUUCUGUCAAGGGCCAUAAAAACCACUCCGAAAAAUGCCGCAUCCAUUCAACGUUUUACAUUAUUUUACUUGCAUAUCUUUGUUGUUUUGUGAUAUUUUUUACAUAAUCAGUUUUUUUCUGUUGCCAAAGGAUGUAUUUAAUUUGCUAAAUAUGUACUGUAUGCCUUUGAUUCUUUAACUCUCAUUGUUUAGUGUGUGUGUGAGAGAGGACACAAAGCCACUGAGAAAAUGACACUACUGCGAUAUUAACAAGUUUUGAAACCGUUAUAUGAAUGAAACCUAGGCUGGAACCUGGGAAACCGCAUUAAAACUUUCUGAGGGUUGAGUGGUUAUGGUGGCCUUAAUGUUGCUGUAGUAUUUGUGCGUUUUUUAAUUCAGGCUGUCAAGUAAAGGGUCUGUAAUGCUUUUAAAGUGUCUUCAAAUUUAUAGUGCUUUAACAUUUAAAUUUCACACAGAAAUGUGCCAGUUACUCUUGUUUAUUUGCUGUUUUUUUCAAUGGGACAGAAAGGUUUCCUGCCAAUGAAUAGAUUGUAAAUUUCGAUGUGGUCUCUAGGCAUCAUACAUGUUUGUCUCUGUUGACUCCUCUAUUAUUGGAGGGCCAAUUUAAAUUGUUUCCACUUCUCAUUCAAGGGAAUAUUCGCAGGGCUGCACUGUACAACUCAAACCAUCCAUUAAAUUUAGUUUUGAAGGUUUUUUUUUAUUGCUACCUCCCAAAUGUAUUAGUUGCUCAUUACAAAAUGCAUUCAACUCAAACCAAACUGCAUAUAGAGGUACAGUAACAUAAUGGAUAAAUAAAAAAUAAAAGUGCAUAAACUCUUUGCUAGUAUAAAGCAUGUGCAUAUGAACCUAAACAACAUGCAUUUUUUUUUGUCAGUGCAUAUAGUCCAUUUAUAAGUCAUUUAUAGGUCACCUGAGAGCAAAAGUUUGUGCAAGGAUUGUUAACUGAUUAUUUCUUAGUUAUGUUACAAAUUGAACUGUAUUAUAUAUUGAAUGCAUUAGGCUCGGUCAAAGACUUUAAAGUCACAAGGGAAACCUGUCAGAUGUUUUCAUUUAAUUUUGUUGCCAACUUUUGCAAAACCGAGGACUAUCUGAAUCUCCUCACAUGAAAAUGAUUCAAAUCUAAUGUUUUUGGUUGACAAUGUUUCUUUUUUCGAUGUUACAUGAUUUUCAGCUGUUGUCUGGAUAGAAGUUAUUUUUCUGAUGCCUUUAAAUGAUGUAAUCAAAGUAUUUUUUAUCAACACAUUGCAUCUGUGAAGAACACAACAAAGACGUGAGGUUCACACUCCAAAAUCGAAAGAAAAAUAAUGCAGAGAUUAUCUUUAUUUUAUGAAUUACUUAUGUAAAUAAGUAAGAUUUAUGUAUAAUUUCAACGGUUUUCUUCGACAGAGAUUUAUAUUGAAUUACCAAAACAUCCAAUGGAUAAUAAACAGGUUUAUCUGUA